rnacentral:misc_RNA from 1 species
GGAAGUAAAAGUCGUAACAAGAUUUCCGUAGGUGAACCCGCGGAAGGAUCAUUCAUAAUAAAGUGUUUUAUGGCACUUUUUAAAAAUCCAUAUCCACCUUGUGUGCAAUGUUAGAUCUCGUCAAUCUUGGCGAGAUUUUUAUACAUCAACUCAUUCUUUAACUAAUUUGUCUGAAAAAUAUUAUGAAUACUUAAUUCAAAAUACAACUUUCAACAACGGAUCUCUUGGCUCUC